GUGAAGUGCCGGUAUGAGGCUGCCAGAAAAAAGGUGUACCAGCAUGCAGCAAGCAAUCCUGUUUUUUUUGGUCCUUAUAGUGAACGUUUUGUGUUCACAUGCUGAGAAUGUCACAUACCAAGACAUUUUGGGUUGCGUAGGGCAAAGUGUAACCCUAUUUAAAGAUAUUCCCAGGCAGGAAAAAAAAACAACUAUGCCAAACAGAAAAGGGUGAUGAUUUUGCUUGUUUGAGAAACGACAACCGACUUGAAGAGUGUAAACAUCUGCAGUACUCCAUUGAAUUCAAGCUGAAUAAUAGCCGGAUAUCUCUGGUCCUGACAAACUUGAGCCUGAACCACAGCGGUCAGUACGUGUGUAAUCUGGGAUCUGAAUCUGAAGAUGUCUGGAGCAAUCUCACAGUCCUUGAGUGCCGACCUGGAGGUGAAGGUGGAGAAGUUGGAAAAAUAGUUGGAAUAGUGGUAGGGGUAGUACUCUUUGCAUGUGGAUUUUUUAUAGUUGCAGGACUGGUUUAUUGGAAAUCUGAUAAAAUCAAGUCGAUGUUUACUGCUUGUGGGGAGCACAAUGGAUCCAGUGACCAACCGGGAACCUCCAGUAGCAUUGAGAGUGUGACGGUGCCACGAUCCGCCUGCAGUGAUCGCUGGAGUUGGGUCAAGUGG